rnacentral:rRNA from 1 species
GAUGAACGCUGGCGGCGUGCCUAAUACAUGCAAGUCGAGCGAAUGGAUUAAGCGCUUGCUCUUAUGAAGUUAGCGGCGGACGGGUGAGUAACACGUGGGUAACCUGCCCAUAAGACUGGGAUAACUCCGGGAAACCGGGGCUAAUACCGGAUAACAUUUUGAACCGCAUGCUUCGAAAUGGAAAGGCGGCUUCGGCUGUAACUUCUGGAUGGACCCCCGUCGCAUUAGCUAGUUGGUGAGGUAACGGCUCACCAAGGCAACGAUGCGUAGCCGACCUGAGAGGGUGCUCGGCCACACUGGGACUGAGACCCGGCCCAGACUCCUACGGGAGGCAGCAGUAGGGAAUCUUCCGCAAUGGACGAAAGUCUGACGGAGCAACGCCGCGUGAGUGAUGAAGGCUUUCGGGUCGUAAAACUCUGUUGUUAGGGAAGAACAAGUGCUAGUUGAAUAAGCUGGCACCUUGACGGUACCUACCCAGAAAGCCACGGCUAACUACGUGCCAGCAGCCGCCGUAA